AAGUCGUAACAAGGUCUCCGUAGGUGAGUAACAAGUCCAUCCAGACCUUUAAACCAUGAAUUUUUACUAAGUUCUACAGGUGAACCUGCGGAGGGAUCAUUAAAGAGUGAAGGCCUUCGGGCCGACCUCCAACCCAUUGUAAUUCAACCUGUGUUUGCCUCGGGGUCGUUGAAUUACCUCUUCGCGGAGGUUCCCCCGGUGGACCACUUAAACUCAGCUUUAUACCUGCAGUCUGACUAUUAUUGAUGAAAAUCAUAACAAAA
rnacentral:misc_RNA from 1 species